rnacentral:rRNA from 1 species
UACGGGGGGGGCAAGCGUUGUUCGGAGUUACUGGGCGUAAAGGGCUCGUAGGCGGCCAACUAAGUCAGACGUGAAAUCCCUCGGCUUAACCGGGGAACUGCGUCUGAUACUGGAUGGCUCGAGUUUGGGAGAGGGAUGCGGAAUUCCAGGUGUAGCGGUGAAAUGCGUAGAUAUCUGGAGGAACACCGGUGGCGAAGGCGGCAUCCUGGACCGGCAUUGACGCUGAGGCGCGAAAGCCAGGGGAGCAAACGGGG